ensembl:lncRNA
CGCCCCUCGGCGCCCUCCCCGCGCGCUAGCCCUUGGCCGCGGCCCGCGCUCGCCCCUCCUCCCCCCACCCGGGACCCUCUCUCCCUCCCCGCCGCCCCCUCUCCCUCGCCGCCCUCCUCCCUCCCUCUCUCCUCCUCCUCCUCCCUCCCGGCGGCCGGCGGGCCAGAGACGAGGUGGCUGCAGCAGGCGUCGCGGGAAGCCCCGGCUUGGGGAGGCUGCGGGCGCGGAGCCGGUAAACUGGGAAGCAGACUCUUGAGUUCACAGCUGGCCUGUGGGUUUUGCAUCUCGUUAAGGAGCACCUCGUCAUACAGGUGGCAUUUUUCUGAAGUUGUUCAUUGGGACUUCCCAGCAUUCCUGCAGAUAUAAAAGAAACACCACUCUGAUGAGCACACAUGAAUGUCGGAAAGGACCAUGUACAGUUUCAUAAGUAGUAUUAAAUUUAAUGCUGUAAUUGCUAUGCUUCCAUUCUGACGUGAUUUGUUUUGUCACUGUUUAUGAACAAGUUUCAGAGCUCUUUAUAACAGGCAUGGCUGACUUUAAGUUGUCUUUCGUUUUGAGCUUCUCUGUGGACCAUUUCACCAUUUGUUACAUUUCUCUCUGAAGAGGGAAGUAGAGAUGACCAGUUCAAAUUACCCAAUUUUAGUACUUGAUGACAACUCAGGUAGAAGAAUUGCCUGAAUAAAAAUGGAAAAUAGUUGAGUAAUAGGUUAUUUAUGAUCAACUCUUAAGAUUUUAAUUUAUAAACGUCACUUUAUUAGUAGAAAAUAUUAGUAACAAUAAUAGGGAUUGAGUAAUCUCCUACAGUAUGCAUUCAACAAAAUCAAGACAGUGGAAGUUCAGUAACUGCCCCCAGAGACUUGGAUCCAGCUCUGCUUCUCGCAAGGGAGAGGCCUGUUCAGCCUGGGCCUAGAGGGGCCUUGCUAUGAACUUGAGGACACAGCUCAGGCCAAGAGAGCAAGUCCGUGGUGUGGAUUUGGGACCGACCGACAUCCUAUCCAAGAGGGUCUGCCAUGUGCAGGGGAUUCGCAGAGCAUUUUGACAGACACCAUCUCAUUUGUGGAAAGGUAAUCUUUUUAGCUUAGAGAUUCUGGGGAAGGAAGAAUUGCCCUUAUGUCAUGAAUUGAACUAUUGAUUCCUCACAUGUUAUUAAAUUGUUCUAAUGACUACUACUGCCCGGGUUAGAUUAGGAAGCUUGAUUGUUGUGUUUUUUUAUGGGAACUGUAAACGCUUGUGAGUUAAGAAAUUAUUCGAGCAAGCUUCCUUCUCAUGGGAAAGCCAGGGCUCACCUGAGACAGGUGGGUGUCCUGAAAAGGCUGGUCAUUCACUGGCACCUUAUCAAACUGAUAACUUUAAAUAUCUGUUCCAUAUUUAUUUAGUAGGAAUGGAGAAACUGAUUUUCUAUUAGUAAAAAAUAUAUACCUUUUCCUGUAUGUUGAAAAUAAUGGAUUUAUUACAUGCGAUUUCCUGAACCAGGUGUUCGUAAACUUCUUUAAAAUUUGAGUAGUAAUAACACUCUGCCAUGCGUUGUUCAGAUCCAGAAUUUCAGCUGCCUGCCAGCCAGGUGACAUCGAGGCUGGUAGCGAGGCCUGUCUUACUCAUCCCGCUCUAUGAGGGAAAGUGUUCUCACCAGAGACAGCCUGUGCUGGCGAGGCGUGUGCGUAGUUCCACUCAGAGGCACUGUCUGCUUGAAUGGAAACAGGUCUGACUGCCAUUUUGCCCGUUAUGUAAGGAGUUGCAUGUAACCACCGAGUUACGUGGCUCCAUAUUUCUGAUGUAUUCCAAUGAUGAUUUAGUCCCCUGUUGUGGGUUGUCACCUUGGAUUGCUGCCAGGCUGGCCUGUUUAAUCCAGCUCUGGCGAAAAGCCAAUUCUGUUCUCCCAGUGCCUUCUGGAGCUAUGUCAUGUUCACCCUUGAAGUCCCCCUCUCUGAAGAUUUAACCAGAUAAUACCAGCCUUCUCGGUGUCUUUUUAUUAUUAUUAUUGUGAAUUAAUUCCAUAGAAAUACAGUAAAACUUUACCAAGUCAGACAGACACAGGAACGGCCAUUCUGAAUUAACAGUGUCUGAAUUACGGAGGAAUCUCAUCCUGCUUUCUGUUAUAUAUACCAUCACCCACAUUAUUAUGAGCUUGGCAGAAGGUUUCUCUAGAGCAGAGAGGGUCAUUGUGGUUUGGGGAGAGCCUUGUUGUCAGGAGGCCCUCUGUCCACCUCUGCUGGACACAGACUUGGGCUGGAAUUCCAUCUGUGGUGCAAGUUGGCUGUGGGGCCUAAGGCAUGUUUCUUUACUUGAUGGAACCCCCAUUUCCUUACGUGUGGAUACCUCUUCUGCCCAGAAUGGUUUGGCAGAUUGAACGAGGCAAAGAUGGCAGUGUGUGUGGUUCAUAGUAGGUAACAAGUGCCCCCUGCCUGGCUCCCUGACACCAGCUAUUUUGGCAAGAGCACUGCACAUGGAGCGGAGGAACUGCCCUGCCAGGCACCUCCUGUGCCUCACUGGUAAAGCAGCCAGGUAAUGCCUGCUCUGUUCUGCCCUGCCUACUCCAUGAGCAUCAUGAGAAGCCUUUGAAGAGUGUGAAUUUAGGGUGUGUGGUUAGUAGUGGGGGUUUCUAGUGGGCAGGCUUUUUUUUUUUUAAUCUAGUCAGACUUUCUGGGCUUGAAUCCCAGCUCUACACCUUCUAAUUAGGUGUAUGACCUUGAGCAAAUUAUUAACACCCUCUGGCUCUCACCUGCCUCACAGGAUUGCUGUGAGAUUAAGUGAUGUACUGUGUAUGGAGUAGGGCACGUGGGCCUAGCGCCUAGUGAAUCUCAAUAAAGAUGCUGAUAAAUUUGCCAGGACACAAGAAGGGAGGCACAGAAUCUGACUUGAAAAAAUAUCUACAGUUUUACAGUCUCUCAGGUUUGAACUUGGGCUUAUUGAACUGCUUUUUUAUAUCAUGAUAUGGUAGUUUAGACCAGGGAUGAUCAUCUUUGUCCUGAAUAAACUGAGAGCGAUCAUAUCCUGCAAUGGGCCUUGCUCAUCGGAAGAGCGAAGCAUUGGGAGUCAGUCUUUCUGGGUUUCCUUCACGAGCAAAGAGGGGGAAAGGCUAGUAAGGCAGAAUUCUUA